GGGGACCACCUGCUGACCCUGAAACCCAGAGCAGGUGAGGCCUGUCUGACUGUUUCUGGGCGACCCAAUCUUGGUUUCCAUGGUUGCCCUGGAAA
ensembl:miRNA